CUCCUGAAUAUGGGGAGCUGAGUGAGACUCCAGCUAACAUAGCUGCAGUACCUAAUGAUUUGCAAACAUAUUCUAGAAUAUAAAAUGAUGAAAAUUAAUAAAAAUGUUUUUCAUCACUGGGAAGAAACACAUGAUACAGAUGGGAGAAGGGACAUGAGAGAAAAGAACUGUGGAAAGAAGAAAAAGAGGUGGAGAUGAUCAAGGCUUUGUCAUUCUACAUCAUUUUACAAAGGACAUUGUAGGGGA
rnacentral:lncRNA from 1 species